GACAGAGGGUGCAAACGUUGUUCGGAAUUACUGGGCGUAAAGCGCACGUAGGCGGAUGUGUCAGUCAGGGGUGAAAUCCCGGGGCUCAACCUCGGAACUGCCUUUGAUACAGCACGUCUCGAGUCCGGAAGAGGUGGGUGGAAUUCCUAGUGUAGAGGUGAAAUUCGUAGAUAUUAGGAAGAACACCGGUGGCGAAGGCGGCCCACUGGUCCGGUACUGACGCUGAGGUGCGAAAGCGUGGGGAGCAAACAGG
rnacentral:rRNA from 1 species